GCACAGCUCAGUUGGUAGAGCAGGAGACUCUUAAUCUCAGGGUCGUGGGUUCAAGCCCCACAUGGAACA